AUCCUGUUUACAGAAUAGCAUACAUCAUAUAUAUGUAUGUAUAUAAGUGUUGUUGUGUGUAGAUGGUGAUGGCCGUUGUGUACGCCUGUUUGUGCGUGUUGUGGAAAAAGACACCAUCAAGCGCAGCAUCACAAACCCAGAUCAGGACGGAGUUUUCAUGCACAGACAGCCAGAGGAGAACAGCAGAGAGGAGUCGAUGUUGUACUAUUACAAAGACGGAAGCUUGACUAUUGAGGAACCCAUAAGAGGCCGAGUGGAGACGAACAAGAACUUCAGAGAUUUCUCAGUGUCUAUCAGCAACGUGAGCAAGUUUACUGGUGCAGAUUUAACAGACGUGACGUAUAUACCAUCAGUGAGAGGACGUGUCUGAUAGUCCUGCUGGGAAUCAUACCGAUAUGUACAGAGAAAACUGAAUGGAACCUGUUCAUCUACCUGAGUGAGACUGGUGGGCUGUCAUUCAUCAUUCUGUUCCUCGUGGUUGUACUGGUAUACACACACACACACACACACACACACACACACACACACACACACUGUGCAGUUACUGAACUUUUUUCUUCUUCUUGCAUUUGACUGAUCUUCCCUCUCUGUGCAGGUGAAGCUGUACUGUAAUCGUGGUAACAACACAGCCAGAGAUGCGAAUGUUCUGAUUUAAGCUGAUAGACGUAAGAUUUGGAAAUUUGUCCAAAUCACACAGUGUGCACUAAGUACAAUAACUAAAUGACACCACACUGUGUACUGACAUAUUUAGUACAGUACUUCACUGCUUUGAGAUUUGUUGCUGUUAUCACAUGUUGCGGAGUAUGUUAAUUAGCUUGUUAGCAAUUGAUGCUAAGUGUAUUUAGAGUGUAAUUUUGUUCAAACUAAGUGUUUUUAGUAAUGAUCAACAUACCUGCAAUAAAUGUAAAUUUUCCGGAUGGUUCUGUCUUGUUUCUACUCCUACAAUGCCGUUAGACUGUCUAUACCCAGAUAGCAAGCACAUUUGGGCCGAAUCCGGUAGAAAUGCGCCACUAUCGGCUCAAUGCCGUUAUCGGUGAAAAAUUAAUGACCCGGAGCCCUGCCGACUGUUCACACCACUUCUGACUGACAGACGGGUUUUGUUAUGUGAGCCAAUCUCGGCUGAAAGCUGGUGUAGUUGCGGCAGGUCCAUACUCUGUGUAGCGGUGUGUAUCUACUUUCGGCCCGAGUUCGUUAAGUCACAGUCGGGCCACAGCUAGAAUCAAGGAGCUCAGCCGCCUGGGGAAACAAAAAAGUUUUGACUGUUAAAUCGGUUAGGAUCCUCGAAGCUGCAGUCAUUCUUCGUUUCUUCGUUUUCAAGAGGAAUCAUUUCAGCUGAAGAAGACAGCUAUAAAGAGAGCCAAAGAGGAGGAGGAGGAAAGCCAAAGAGGGCAGGACCUGGUCAGACCUCCAGUCAGACGUGGAAGUGUCUGGACAAAGAACACCGAGGUGUAAAACAUAGAUAUUUGUCCAGCACAUCACUAUUACUAUUCCUUGAUGCUUUGAGGCCAUAUUUAUUUUCAUGAAACAUUGUAGAAUUUGGCAAUAUAGUCAAUAGUUUAUAAGUGUACAUUUAGUUUUGAUCAAUUGAAUUUUUUAUUAGGAGGAGUGUCCGGGUUGGCCCCCUGUAGGUCAGGAGCCUUGUUUGUGCGACUCAGAGGAUGUGCCACACCACCCAAACACAUUCUUCCACCUUCCCCCACUGUAAACUUCCCCACAGUCACCCCAAAUGCCACUUUCACCCCUGUUUCCACCACCACUUUACCAGCAGCACCACCACCAGCAGCACACGGCUCGUUCACAGAGAUGCUGCAGAACUGGCAGCCGGUGGACGAUAUGCCAUCGCUGCCAGGCUGUCAGACUGUACAGGGCCCCCAGUAAUCAUCAGAACCAGCCAUGCUGAGGGAGGUGCUGACUAAAUUAGUGAUGGUGCUGGACCAACAAACCACUGAGAUCGCUUCAACCACAGGAGGUCCAGGUGCAGCUUUUGGAUAUCGAGGAAGAUUUACUGCCCCUGCAAGACCUUCCUCAACUGCGUAGUCUGGAGCAAGCAGAUUACAAGCAAACACUGGUAAACUGGUUGGCGCUUACUGACAGGGCGGAUGUGUGCGACUGCACCUGGUGCAUAUUGAAGAGGGUGAUUGCCAACUCCCUGGCAAAGAACCUCAGUUGGAGGGGUCAAUGGAAAGACUUUACUGGCCACUCUCCAACUCGGAGAGGUCGUGAUUGCUGCAGUUCAAAGAAACCUCUUCAUGGCUAAUGCUGCAGAGAUGGAGGUUGAGGGGACCAUGAAGAGGUGGCUCCAGCUAGCAUCAGAUCGAGAGUGUAGUUGCAAGAGAAGGAAGAUGUGAGAUGUGAGGAAGAUGUGAGGAAGAUGUGAGAUCUGGCAGCUACUGCACCAUACUACAUCAAUGUCACAUGACCACCUGCACCUGUAUCACAGUCUGUUUAAGGAGCACUCCUAUAUAUAGCCACUGGUUGUACUACUUCCUCGUCUUACGUAUUGUCUAACUUGACCUGUGUCCCUGUACCAUGUUUUGUUUGAUAGUUUAUGUUUAGCCUUAGCCACAGUAUUUUGCUGAGUUGUCUGAAUGUUUUUGUUUUGUUGUUUGUUUGUUUAUUAAACUGUUUGAAGAUCUGUGCUUGCUUCUGUAUCUACCUUUGUAACAUGACAGUUGUGGUCUGAAGUUUACAUACCCCAUGCAGAAUCUGCAAAAUCUUCUUACUUUUAACAAAAUAAGAAAGAUCAUAAAAAUCCCAUGUUGUUGUUUAUUUAGUCCUCUCUUGAAUAAACUAUUUCACAUAACAGAUGUUUGCAUAUAGUCCACAAGCCAAUAGCUGAAUUUAUAAAAAAUGACCCAGUUGAAAAGUUUACAUACACUUUAUGUCUACUGUAUAUGUUAAUGCUUAAUAAAAGCCCUUAAUCU